rnacentral:snRNA from 1 species
UUGGGUUCGAAUCCAGUAACUAACAACCUCACAGCAGAGAAGAUUAGCAUGGCCCCUGCACUAAGGAUGACACGCAUAUCUCAAAGAGAAGCUACCAAUUUUU